AUUGAACGCUGGCGGCAUGCCUUACACAUGCAAGUCGAACGGUAACAGGUCUUCGGAUGCUGACGAGUGGCGAACGGGUGAGUAAUACAUCGGAACGUGCCCGAUCGUGGGGGAUAACGGAGCGAAAGCUUUGCUAAUACCGCAUACGAUCUACGGAUGAAAGCAGGGGACCGCAAGGCCUUGCGCGGACGGAGCGGCCGAUGGCAGAUUAGGUAGUUGGUGGGAUAAAAGCUUACCAAGCCGACGAUCUGUAGCUGGUCUGAGAGGACGACCAGCCACACUGGGACUGAGACACGGCCCAGACUCCUACGGGAGGCAGCAGUGGGGAAUUUUGGACAAUGGGCGAAAGCCUGAUCCAGCCAUGCCGCGUGCAGGAUGAAGGCCUUCGGGUUGUAAACUGCUUUUGUACGGAACGAAAAGACUCCUUCUAAUAAAGGGGGUCCAUGACGGUACCGUAAGAAUAAGCACCGGCUAACUCCGUG
rnacentral:rRNA from 1 species